GCGCAAACGUUUCCUGCGCAAGUUUGAAUCUCUCAGUCAGGGGGGAGAUUGACUGACUGACUGUUUACUCGCCACCAAACAGUAAUUUACCCUGAAACCUUUUACAGUUUAGCACAAACGUUUCCCGCGCAAGUUUGGAUCUUUACCAUUGAGGGUGGCUGACUGUUCUCUACCAACCAUCAUGCACACGCAAAAACUUUAAAGAUAAGUAUGAACGUGCCCAGAGCAGUUUUCGAUCUUUACCAUUAAGGAGGCUGACUGACUAUCCUCUACCACCCAUCGUUAACACAACAAAAACUAAAGAAAUGUUACUCCAUAUGGACCUAUUCAUUUACUCAUUAUGCUGUGAGUACACCACAGUUUUAUCAGGGAAAAAAUGUAUAUUUGUGUGUUUCUCACUGCUUGGCAAGGACAGAUGUGGCCCUGUUAAAAAUGUUUAAAUGUCGUUUGGUUUAAGGAACAGCACACUGAUUUUGUUUUAAAUAUUCCUGUUUGGACAGUCUGUUAAAGUCAUAAAGCAGGGGUGGGGAACCCUGGUCCUGGAGGGCCACUGUCCUGCAGAGUUUAGUUCCAACCCUAAUUAAACACACCUGAAAAAUCUAAUUCAAGUCUUCAGGAUUACUUGAAAAUGAAAUUCAGGUGUGUUUGAUUAGGGUUGGAACUAAACUCUGCAGGACAGUGGCCCUCCAGGACCCAGGGUUCCCCACUCCUGUCAUAAAGGAAUACAUGAUAUAUUUCAUAAGUAAAGUGUAAAUGUAAUAUUAGUUUUUAAUGUUGUGAAUUUGGACUGAACAGCACACUUCUGUUUUAUAUCUAAACCUUUUGUAAAAUAAAUGAUUGUUCAAUAAACUGUGUAUUUUAUCUUUUCUGUUAUCAUUUUUUUUACUAAUGUUUAAAAUGUACCU